rnacentral:misc_RNA from 1 species
GUCUUCAAAUUUCAAAGCUUUAAUCCUAAUUUUCUCCAUGGCUGGAGCUGCCACCUUCAUAUUCUCCUCCAGAAACUUCAUCACGAUUCUUUCCAUUUCCUCAUCCAACUUCCCUUUCUCCCUCAAGACCCUAACCAUCUCACUCAACUUAAUAAUGGCGUGCAAUUUAAUCCCAUUCACCUCCAAAUUCUCUUUCCCACCUUGUUCCCUAUCUAUCAAAACGACAGCAUCAGUGACGUUCAAUCCCGCAGCACGCAAAGGAGUGGCGGGCUCGAGAACGGAGGUGCCGCUGGUGACGAGAUCCUCGACAAUAAGGCAAGUUUGGCCGCUCUGGAAAACGCCUUCAAUAGCCUUAGCGGUGCCAUAGUCUUUAACCUCCUUGCGGCGCAU